UACAAACUCUUCAUGUUUAAAUUCUGACGUACCCGUCCAUCAAGUCCAGACUCAGAUUACAGACUGUUUAGAUCUUGACGUUUUCGUCAGGUCCAAAUUCAUAUCACAGAUAUAUAGAUUAGAAGUAUCAAGUGGAAUAGUACUUUAUCCUGCAUAGUACUUAACUUUCAUACUUUUGACUGGUAUUCAGCUUUGAUACUAAUUAUAACGAUCUGAUCUGCUAGCAACAAUAAUUUGUUGGGCCCUAAACCACCGGUUCAAAAUAUUUAAAUCCAGUCAAUAUUAAUAAGAUGAAGAUCUUAUACAUUCCAAUCAAAUUCUUUUUUUUCUUUCGAUGCGAGACUAUUGGAAUAUUACACAACACUUUGUUGCCGUUAAGU
rnacentral:lncRNA from 1 species